AGAGUUUGAUCCUGGCUCAGGACGAACGCUGGCGGCGUGCUUAACACAUGCAAGUCGAGCGGUAAGGCCUCUUCGGGGGUACACGAGCGGCGAACGGGUGAGUAACACGUGGGUGACCUGCCUUUAGCUCUGGGAUAAGCCUGGGAAACCGGGUCUAAUACCGGAUAGGACCCGCUCUUGCAUGGGGGUGGGUGGAAAGU
rnacentral:rRNA from 1 species